GCCGGGAUGGUGGAAUAGGCAGACACGCAGGACUUAAAAUCCUGUGCCAGCAAUGGCGUGCGGGUUCGAUUCCCGCUCCCGGCA
rnacentral:tRNA from 1 species